CCUGGUCUCUCAGAAAUUGAGUCAUCCUUGAUUACGAGGAAGCCAACGGCCAGACGAAAAGACCCUGAGCACCUUUCCUUCCC
rnacentral:rRNA from 1 species